GACGAACGCUGGCGGCGUGCUUAACACAUGCAAGUCGAACGGAAAGGCCCUGCUUUUGUGGGGUGCUCGAGUGGCGAACGGGUGAGUAACACGUGAGUAACCUGCCCUUGACUUUGGGAUAACUUCAGGAAACUGGGGCUAAUACCGGAUAGGAGCUCCUGCUGCAUGGUGGGGGUUGGAAAGUUUCGGCGGUUGGGGAUGGACUCGCGGCUUAUCAGCUUGUUGGUGGGGUAGUGGCUUACCAAGGCUUUGACGGGUAGCCGGCCUGAGAGGGUGACCGGCCACAUUGGGACUGAGAGACGGCGCAGACUCCUACGGGAGGCAGCAGUGGGGAAUAUUGCACAAUGGGCGGAAGCGUGAUGCAGCAGCGCCGCGUGCGGGAUGACGGCCUUCGGGUUGUAAACCGCUUUCGCCUGUGACGAAGCGUGAGUGACGGUAAUGGGUAAAGAAGCACCGGCUAACUACGUG
rnacentral:rRNA from 1 species